rnacentral:rRNA from 1 species
GACGAACGCUGGCGGCGUGCUUAACACAUGCAAGUCGAACGGAAAGGCCCUGCUUUUGUGGGGUGCUCGAGUGGCGAACGGGUGAGUAACACGUGAGUAACCUGCCCUUGACUUUGGGAUAACUUCAGGAAACUGGGGCUAAUACCGGAUAGGAGCUCCUGCUGCAUGGUGGGGGUUGGAAAGUUUCGGCGGUUGGGGAUGGACUCGCGGCUUAUCAGCUUGUUGGUGGGGUAGUGGCUUACCAAGGCUUUGACGGGUAGCCGGCCUGGGAGGGUGACCGGCCACCUUGGGACUGAGAUACGGCCCAGCCGCCUACGGGAGGCAGCAGUGGAGAAUAUUGCACAAUGGGCGGAAGCCUGAUGCAGCAACGCCGCGUGCGGGAUGCCGGCCUUCGGGUUGUAAACCGCUUUCGCCUGUGACGAAGCGUGCGUGACGGUAAUGGGUAAAGAAGCACCGGCUAACUACGUG